GAGAUCCAUCGCAUCUGGAUAUUUAGUCCGCCGAAUCAUCACGAGAAAGGAUGACGUCACUCACUUCGGAAACCACGGCAAUCUACGCCCAUCAGUGUCCGAAUUUACGGGCGAAACUCCCGUUCAUCAAUUCAACGCAGGUCGAGAAAUUGGAAGAACACUUCCAGCAGGACAAGAAUCCUCAGAUAGCUGAUGUCGUGAUCAUAGCAGCGGAACUCGGCCUGCCUGUUCAGGCCGCUCGGAUUUGGUUUGACAAUCGUCUCUCGCAAUGGAGACAAUCCCAGGGACUUUCACCCAACUGGAAGCUUCUGAAUCAUGCAUGAAUCGUCUUAAAAAUCAGGAAAUCAAUACAUCAGCACAGACAACCCCCGUGAUGAGCGACCCGGGAUAAGGGAAAUGA